UCCUCGUUCUUCAACAGCACCCCCCACCCCACGUUCCUCCUCUUCUUCUUCUUCAACAGCCCCCCACCCCGCUCCUCCUCCUCUCUCUCUUACAGAGACUUGCGGGAGGCUUGACCUGGAUAGGCAUAGAGGAUUCUGAGCAGAGUGGCCCGGAGAACAAGAAUGAUGAUCCCGUCCACUCCCUCCCCCCAAAAUUACCAUUGACGGACCCCAAAAUUACAAUAUUAAUUCCACCAACGACCAUCAUUGACGGACACAUCCUUCAAACCACUGCCUCCUCAAUUUCUAUUUAAAACACCAUUAACGAUCUCCAUUUCCACCAUUUUUUUCAGAUUCAUCAUCAUUUUUAAUGAUGAAACUUCUUUCAAUAUAAAAUGCACAACGCAACGCACAUAAACACAUCGUACUCAUAAUUCAAAGGCUACCUCAACAAAAUUAUUCAUAGAUGAGAUAUACAAUCGUAUAGCAGUAAGAAAAGUUGUCGGAAUUCAAUUUUUCCGAUGAGAGUGGGACUCCCACAUUUGCUCCUAAAAAAUGGGCAUGGAUUGAUAUUCUUAAGGAGCCCGCAAUUUUAUACAUCUAAUGAAUUUGUUAAUGAUGAAUUUUGAAAAAAAAAAAAAAAAGGUGAAUUUGAUUGUUGAG
rnacentral:lncRNA from 1 species